CCGAGUCCAACCUCGAUGGUUCUAAUGAUUUUAUUGCUCAGUGGCAAAAUAAAUCAAAGCAACGAUAAUCCCAAAGUCACAUUUAAACAUGUCAGUGACUGCUAGGAAGCAGAGGGUAUGGAAUGAAAAUGGAGACUCUUCCCUACUUCCCAUUCCCAGCCUCACCUGCUUUGGGAAAAAAAACCCACCCCAACUGAAAGGGCUGUCCGAUCCCAAUACAUAAGAGCUCCUUCCUUGUCCCUACUCCCGAUUCUCCUUGCUGCUGCUGGAUUCUGUGCCUUGGACCUUGCCCUGCCACUUCGGAGCCACUGAAA
rnacentral:lncRNA from 1 species